GACGAACGCUGGCGGCGUGCUUAACACAUGCAAGUCGAACGGAAAGGCCUGCUUGCAGGGUACUCGAGUGGCGAACGGGUGGGUAACACGUGGGUGAUCUGCCCUGCACUUCGUGAUAAGCCUGGGAAACUGGGUCGAAUACCGGAUAUGACCUUCCAUGGAGUGUGGGGGGGGGAAAGAUUUAUCGGGGUGGGGUGGGCCCGCGGCCUAUCAGCUUGUUGGUGGGGUAGUGGCCUACCAAGGCGGCGACGGGUAGCCGGCCUGAGAGGGUGGACGGCCACAUUGGGACUGAGAUACGGCCCAGACUCCUACGGGAGGCAGCAGUGGGGAAUAUUGCACAAUGGGUGGAAGCCUUAUGCAGCGACGCCGCGUGGGGGAUGACGGCCUUCGGGUUGUAAACCUCUUUCGCCAGGGACGAAGCUUCGGUGACGGUACCUGGAUAAGAAGCACCGGCUAACUACGUG
rnacentral:rRNA from 1 species